rnacentral:rRNA from 1 species
AGGGUGUAAACGCUGCAGACUUGGUGUUGGGAACCCUUCGGGGGUGCUCAGUGCCGGAGAGAAGUUGUUAAGUCUGCUACUUGGGGAGUACGUCCGCAAGGAUGAAACUUAAAGGAAUUGGCGGGGGAGGCACCGCAACGGGAGGAACGUGCGGUUUAAUUGGAUUCAACACCGUAAAACUCACCAGGGAAGACUGUUACAUGAAAGCCGAGAUGAAGACUCUGCUAGAUUUUCAGAGAGGUGGUGCAUGGCGUCAGUGACU